rnacentral:misc_RNA from 1 species
AAAUCAUAGACUGAAAAGUGUAGGCUUUAAUUUUUCUUUUCGGCCUAAUUUGCAACUUCAAGUGUAUUAUUGGUUUAGUUCUUUAGAUCUACGUAAUAGAUGUUUUACUGAUACAUUCCGUUCACCAAACAUGCAUGCAAUUGGGAGUACGUUGCAUUCCUUGGUUUGGCAACUGGAUUGAUUAAUGUUUUUGUAUUCCUUUGUUUGUUUUUAAUGGUAGGAUUUUGGAAUUUGGAGAAAUAACUUUAGUGGUCUAGUGUUAAAAUUUAUUUAGUCAGGGGAAAAGAGUAGAAUUUAUUGUAAAUUGGCUCUGCAUUAAGCUGGAACGAAGCUAGAUUGGGUGGAUAGAAAUUAUUUCUUUGGAUUUGGUUGUUGUUGUUUAAGAACUAUAUUUUUGAAUGUGAGAAUGAAUUUGACAGUGGAAACAAUUAGAGAACUAGGGCCAACUAUGAUAUGGUCCAUAUGGAAUCUCAUUCAGCAUGCUAAGUGAAUGAUCAGAAGGCUGGACUCACCUUGAACGUGGAAUCUCAUCCAGUUCUUUAGUCAUGUACAGGAAUAUGACAUCUGUGUGUCAGUAACAUUCAAUGGAAAUUUCUAUUGUUUACUGUCAACCAGAAGCUACAAUUUUUGUAGUGUAACCCAAUUUUGACUAUUAUAUGCUACAAUUGUAUUAGAACUGCAGAAUAGUACUUUUGAUUACGUCACAUUUAUGGUUCUUCAUCAGCUAUCGUUGAAUGAAAAUUUCAGCCUGAAAUGAAUACAUAAUAAGUGUUUCACAAAAGUUGAAAGAGAGGCCUGUACCUUUUAACAGACUCAGAGCAGUUAGUUAGGGGAAGAGAAUGCACAACUUCAUGUAUGAAUUACAUGUUGAUAUGCCCAUGUAGAAGUCUCCUUGUUGAAGAAUUUGCCCUGCUUAUUGUGUUGUAAACUUGUAUCUUGUGUAUUUAAGCCAAGGAUAAAGCAAAACUUGCAAAUUUCAUGUCAUUUGAAUUUUAUUAAUAAAGUUGAAUACUCUAAGUUCUAGCAUUGCAGUUGUGUCAUUCAUAGUUGGGGAGAUUCCAGGUUCUCAUGAUGAAUAAUAAUGCCUUAUAUGAUGGGAGAAUACAUUACAAGGAUAUGCUCUCUUCUUAGAACCAGAGGGAACAUAGAGGAUUUUGAGGUAAGGAUUAGCAUAGUAAUCUUGGGAGGCAUAUUUUGGCCACAUUAUUUUCCGAGCAUAGUAAUCUUGGGAGGCAUAUUUUGGCCACAUUAUUUUCCG